rnacentral:lncRNA from 1 species
AGCAGCCCUGGGGCUUGAACCCCAACAAAUCCCAACAGCUCCCUUGCUUCCCCUCCCCCAGGGCCAAUAGAAUGGCAGUGAUCCUCGCCAGGCCCCCACCCCCCGUGUCACCUGGUCCUGAGGUGAAGGAACGGAGGCCCUUGGAGCGAAGGGAGCUGCUCUGCAAACUGUAGAGUGUGGUGACAAUGGAAGGAGGCAUGCCUAUUCUCUGCCGACCCCUCUCUGGGAGCAGGGCCCUUGCCUGGGAGACUCCCUGGGCCCUAAACGCUUGCUCUGCCCUCAGGUUCCUCCGCCCCUUCCAAAGGACUCUCCUGCCACCUGGGCCCACAACUGCCUGCCUCCUGGUGCCUCCAGAGAGGUCCCAGAACCUUCUGGAACAUUCCCCGCAAAGGACUCUGAAGAUCGCCUCCACCUGGCCUGAGCCCUGCAGGCCCGGCUGGGAAGCCCCUCCUGACUCCCACUCCAGUGCUCACAGGGCUGAGCCCAGAUCUCCGCAGCUUCUGUUCAGUUCUGGGGGGGAGACUAUUUCCAGGGGUGAUGGCUACAGGGAUCCAGGCGUGUUUGCCUCCUGGAAAUGUGCAGAAAAAUCCGUGACCUGUCUGAACCCACGUGGAGAAAACUGGAGGAGGAGUGAACUCAGGAUGGAUGAAUAAUGCCAAAGAUAAACACGUAAUAAAUAGGGCCAGCUCCCGCCGAGGCUCCAGGACCGCCAUGCCCCGCUAUUUGAUGUCCCCGGGCAGAGGCAGACAGGAAGGGCCUGCUUCCAGAGAGCCAAACACCACCCCCUGCCUGGUCUGGACCAGCAAAGUGCCUAGGGACAAUCUCUGAGCCUCUCCCGUGGAUCCAUGGCCACAGUUUCCCCGUCUCUGCAAAUGACCGAGAGAGGCUGGAGGGACGAUUUGACGAGACGCUGUCCCUGCUCCAGCUCAGGGCAGCUCCAGCAUCAUUUGCGCUGUGCACCUUCUACCCCAUCAGAGGUUCCAGCCCGAGCCCUGCAGGGGCCUGGAGUCACAGGAAGAGGGGCACAAUUUCCCAGCAGCCCCAUUGGAGGACCACAGCGAAGUUGUUGGAUGUCCAGGGCACCUUGGCAAGUGGUCCUCUACCCACAGAGCCAGUGAGCCCCCAAAACGUCAUCGUCUUCCCUGGGAACCACUGCCCACAGGUUGCACAUGGCCAUCCUGCUUCCUCACCUCCCAUUGCCCGUAGCUACCCUGCCUCCACCGGGAAUUGCACAUCUGCCCAUCUGUCCACCUUACCUGCCAUCAUCCGUCUCCCGCCCAGAAUCCACACCAGUCUCUUCCAGGAGCCCCUCCAGGAUGGCCCCCAGCGAUCCCCAUUCCAUAAAGGGCCCUGCAGUUCUGGUGAAGUGUCACCCCAGCUCACGAUGACCCAGUAGCUCCAAUGGCCCUUAUGAAGCAGCUCCUUUCCUUGGCUUUGAAGGCUCCUGAUGCUGGGUUCCUGGCCACCUUCUGACUCCCAGCCUGAACCUCGGCUCCAACCAGAUCAGCAACUUUCUGGACCUCUGUGCCCUUGAACAAACAUGCUGUUCAGAGGACUGGAAUUCUCUUCUUCUUUUUUUAGGGCUGCACCUAUGGCAUAUGGAAGUUCCCGGGCUAGGGGUCGAAUCAGAGCUGCAGUUGCCAGCCUACGCCACAGUCACAGCAAUGCCAGAUCCUUAAC